rnacentral:rRNA from 1 species
GAUGAACGCUAGCUACAGGCUUAACACAUGCAAGUCGAGGGGCAUCAUGACGAUAGCUUGCUAUUGUUGAUGGCGACCGGCGCACGAGUGCGUAACACGUAUCCAACCUGCCCUGUACCGGGGGAUAACACUUAGAAAUAGGUGAUAAUACCGCAUAAGCGCACACUGACGCAUGUCAGAGUGUGAAAAACUCCGGUGGUACAGGAUGGACCCGCGUCUGAUUAGCUUGUUGGCGGGGUAACGGCCCACCAAGGCGACGAUCAGUAGCCGGCCUGAGAGGGUGAACGGCCACAUUGGGACUGAGACACGGCCCAGACUCC